GGCGGGAUCGGAGCAUUUUGAUUUGGAAGUUGAAAGUGAAAUGAGUAAUGACUGACUGACCGACUACAUUUGAUUUGUUGGACUGUCUCUGAUUCUGAAUCUCUGACCUCUCUCUCAGUCUCUGUCUUCCUUUUUCAUUUUUUUCUUUCGAUUUCGGAGCUGGUAAAUGGUAAUGUUGUUAUGUUAUUGUUAUGCCACCUCAGGUGCCUAACAGUUAACAAACUCAAAGCGGAAAACUGUAUUUCAACUUUCAAGUCUCAAUUUGAACUACAUCCUUGUCCCCUUUUUGAAGGGAAUGAAUAAUAA
rnacentral:lncRNA from 1 species